rnacentral:rRNA from 1 species
GAUGAACGCUGACAGAAUGCUUAACACAUGCAAGUCAACUUGAGCUUCGGUUUGGGUGGCGGACGGGUGAGUAACGCGUAAAGAACUUGCCUCACAGAUAGGGACAACAUUUGGAAACGAAUGCUAAUACAUGAUAUUAUGAUUAUAUGGCAUCGUAUAAAUAUGAAAGCCUUAUGCGCUGUGAGAGAGCUUUGCGUCCCAUUAGCUAGUUGGAGAGGUAACGGCUCACCAAGGCGAUGAUGGGUAGCCGGCCUGAGAGGGUGCUCGGCCACAAGGGGACUGAGACACGGCCCUUACGACUACGGGAGGCAGCAGUAGAGAAUAUUGGACAAUGGACCAAGAGUCUGAUCCAGCAAUUCUGUGUGCACGAUGAAGUUUUUCGGAAUGUAAAGUGCUUUCAGUUGGGAAGAAAAAAAUGACGGUACCAACAGAAGAAGUGACGGCUAAAUACGUG